rnacentral:rRNA from 1 species
UACGGGAGGCAGCAGGGGGGAAUAUUGGACAAUGGGCGCAAGCCUGAUCCAGCCAUACCGCGUGUGUGAAGAAGGCCCUAGGGUUGUAAAGCACUUUAAGUUGGGAAGAAAAGUUAUUGGCUAAUACCCAAUGACCGUGA